GGGCAGUGGCAUCCUCAUGUAAGCUGGUCUACUGGUGGCUGCCCCUGUGACCUGCUUCUGAAUGGCCAGGCAGGAAAGGUCUCCCACUGUGUUGCAUUUAAAGAAAAGAAAAAGAUGAAUUAAGUAAAAAGCUCUGCAAACAACUCAGUGUAAUUAUUGGGAGAAUAUUUCUCACAUGUUUGACAGAAAACACUACCUGUCCAUCAUUUCCAUGGAUUCCUGGGUCUCACGGGCAGAAGGACAAGGCAGAUAUGAGGAGGAUCUGGUAAAGAACAUUGAUUUUCUUCCCUGGGAUUCUGAAAAAGCUUUGCUCCCCAGGCAUCUUUAUGUGGUUUGCUGACCGAAGCAUUAUUCACACUUCUCCUGCGGCCACGCCAAUGCCACACCCGCUGCACGGUGCUACCAACCUCCUACCCCUGAACAACAGUGGUUGAAUCUCUGACUUGAGCCAUGCAGCCCUUUGAAAGAAAAGCGAUUUAGGAGCUCAGCCCUCUGAGGAUGUAAAGCCUCUCGCAGGUGCUUGCUUUGUCUGUCUCGGUGUGUGGAGGAUGCCUUCUGUGAGGUCCUGCGCCUCUGUGUAAGCAGAAGAGAAAAGGAAGCCCUGAGAGGUGAAUCCACUUCUGGGAGAUCUGACAACGUUCAGCUUUACCUAAGCCAUGGUCAGGAAACCGUUCUGCGUUCCAGGAAAUGGUCGACCGCAAUGACUGGCCUUUCCCUAUAAAAACUUACAAAACCCUCACAGACCGUGAACACCAUGAGAUCAGAGCAUCCAUCUGUAGACUCACAGAGCAAGAAGCGUGACUGCCCCAAUCUUGAAUGGAUGAAUAAUCAGCUGCCGGGUCCACCACUUCUUAACUUCAGAACCGCAGGAAGCCGCGUCAGUCAUGGGGUUCAUUUUGCACACGACAGAUUUCAUGGUUGUCCUUCCUCCAAACCGAGGAACCUAGAUCUUCUCUGAUCCCCAACAAAUAAGUUCCUGGAUAUGAAAGGGGAUACUUUCCUUGGUGGUAGUCCCAAUGAAGACCCACUGAACAUCGUCAGCUUCAAAAUGUGCUGGCUUCUCAACCACGAUAGCCUGAAAUGUACCUGGAAAAUGGGGGCUAAUAUGGAGCUUCACUCUUGUUGCCCAGGCUGGAGUAUAAUGGUGCGCUGUCGGCUUACUGCAACCUCUGCCUCCUGGGUUCAAGCAUUUCUUCUGCCUCAGCCUCCCAAGUAGCUGGGAUUACAGCUUCUGGCCACAAGCAUAUUUCUGUACACCUGAGUUCUGAAAUUUGAGACACAACACAAGAUCCCACACACUACUUGUAGGUACUGCUAUGUGAUUAGAAUAGCUACUGCUAGUCAAUCGCUCUUAAUUUUUUCUGUGGCAUGGACCCCUGUGGCAGUGGAGCUUAUGGGACAUUUCUUAAAAUAAUGCUUUAAAUGCACAGAAUGAAAUACACAGUAUUACAAGGGAAACCAAUUAUAUUAAAAUACAAUUCUCAAAUUUACUUUAAAACGGCGGUGAUAUAGUAACGUAAGUGCCUCCUUUAUUAUUCCAUUAAAUAAUACCACCUAGCAGAGCUCAAAUGACUACCAUAACUCAGAAGCACUGGUGAGCACAAAUGAUAUUUUAAGAUGCCAUCCAAGGCAGUCAGUUACGUAAUCUGAAAAUAUCUAUGAUUUCUCCUGGUAACAAAGAUAUGGAUAUUGCUAAUGCGACUGUGGUUUGUUGCCUACAUUCAUCAUGGAAGAGAAUGCCGCAUUUCAAAGACUGAUUAGCGAAAAUAAAGAUGUAAUUGUUUCCCCUUGCAAGUCCAUGGGCCUCUGUUUUACCCAUGGACUGCUGCUUAAGAAGCUGUUAUGGCUUAAAUGUUUCCUCCCACAAAAAGAUAUGUUGGAGUCCUAACCUCUAGUACCUCAGAAUGUAACGUUAUUUGGAAAUAGAACAUUGCAGAUGUAAUUAGUAAUUAAGUUAAAAUGAGAUCACAGUGGAGUACGAUGGACUCCUGUCCAUCCUGUGGAUAGGAUGGAUAUGUAAUAUGACAGAUGUUCUUAUAAAAGGAGGAAUUUGAACAUAGAUACACACACACACACACACACACACACACAAACAGAAUGCCAUGUGAAGAUGAAGGGAGACCAGGCUGAUGCUUCUACAAGCCAAGGAAUGCCCAACAUUGGCAGCACACCCCCAGCAGCCAGGGGAGAGGCUGGGCCAGAUUCUCCCUCGCAGGCCUCAGAAGGAACCAGCACUGCAAUACUUCCAUCUCGGGCUUCCAGCAUCCAGGGCUUCGAGACCAUACCUUUCUGUUGUUUAAAUUCCUCAGCUUAAGGUGCUAAGUUACAGUAGCCCAAGGAAACAAAUACAGAAGUCUCCCAGGGAGAAGAAAAGGCAGAGACUCCAUUUGACCCUCUGUCCUGUCUGGGUGCUCAUGAAAUGUCUGGAAAAUCUGGUGUUUUAGUCAACGGGGCAACCAUCACAGAGCAGGCGAGACAAAUUCUUAUCAGACCUGUGCAAGUGAGGCGCUCUGCAUGUUAGUUCCAGCUUUGCCAGAGCCCUGUAACCGCAAGCAAGUCACUAAGCUCUUCCGGGCAGUUCCUGCAUCACAGGGAAGGAGUUGGGACUGUGCUCUCCCAGAUCCCUUCCACCUCUCCCCUUGGGGAGCACCUCAACGGGCAGGGGUUCCUAUGGGACGUCAGGGCACGGCUGCCCAGCCCUCCCCUGUGAGGCACCUACUUGGAAAUGAUCACUGGAGGACAGCGGGAAAGGGCACUUAGCGCCUGGGACAUGUGACCUCGCUUCAUGACCACAGCAGAUGUGGCAUUUUGGGUUGGAAACAUACUUGUUAAUUGUACUGCAGGGGCCUUGAAGGCUGACAGCUGUGGUUUCUGGCCCCCGUUCAGCCCUGCAAAAGCCUGCCUUGUACCUCAGGACAUCGUGGAAGGUGACGUCGCCGCCGUUGUGGAGCCUCUCCAUUUCGUAGCACAUGUGCUUAAACAGGAGCUUGUCCUUGUCCAGGUCCACCUCCAGCCUCCCACGCAGGAGCCGCAGCAGGAACUUGACGCGGAACGUGGGGAUCACCCCCUGGGGGGCAGAGCACAAGAAGCAGCAAAUCAUCAUCAGGCCUCGCUGAUUCGCUUGGGUUUCUCAAAAAAAAAAAAAAAAAAAAAAAAAAAAAAGGUGCGAUUUCUCAAAAGCUAGCAUAAUUAGCACCAGAUGUGAAGAAAACUGGUCACCUCCUUGGAGCCUUGUGGAAUUAAGUGCACUAAGAAGAGCAGAGGAUAGAAAACUGAGUGAUAAAUUUCUGCUGGUGCUUCUCUCUCUGGGAUGUCACCACAUUGCAGCAUUUGGAGUGAGGCAUGGGAAGCUCCCCUUCAGCCCCUCAGGACUCUGCUCUUGGUCUCACCAGGCUGAUGCUUGCAUAGCCUGUCCCACAGACUCCGCCUCCAACACAUGCACUGAAUGGGUCAUAAUGCACUCACACAAGGUAAUGGACAAGACACACACGUGUAAUCCUCCUCUUCACUCAGUCUGGAUUCUAGGAACGUCUCAAUGUUUAUUACAUGUUUUUCUACAAUUAAAAGAUAACUCGUGGUGGAUCA